UACGUAGGCAGCAAGCGUUGUUCGGAGUUACUGGGCGUAAAGGGUGUGUAGGCGGUUAUUUAAGUUUGGUGUGAAAUCUCCCGGCUCAACCGGGAGGGUGCGCCGAAUACUGAAUGACUUGGAGUGCGGGAGAGGAAAGUGGAAUUCCUGGUGUAGCGGUGAAAUGCGUAGAUAUCAGGAGGAACACCCGUAGCGAAGGCGGCACUCUGGGCCGAUACUGACACUGAGGAGCGAAAGCGUGGGGAGCGAACAGG
rnacentral:rRNA from 1 species